UCAGGACCUUUGGAAGAGCAGGCAAUGGUCUUAACCACUGAGCCAUCUCUCCAGCCCCAGGACCUGUACUUCCGAACAGGACACAAUCCUGCCCUUGACUCUUCAUCGGACUCUAGACAUCAUGGCUCUACUUUCUGCGUGUAUGUACUUUUUUCUACCCAUGGAGCUUCAUAGCCUGAAGAAGAGUCCAUCAGACUAGCUGUUAUGAGUGAUAAGAAUCUUUUAAGCAUGAAGAAGUUAAGUGACCUACUGGGUUCCAUGGUGACAAAUCCAAGAAGACAGGAGAGCCCGUUAGCUCCAGCUUCCAGUAUGACUAGUACCAAACAAGCUUGGACGGAUGCAGACCACAAGAAAGUCUACAGCCCAGAGGCUCCGUGUAACUGGAGACCUGAAGGAGUGAGGAGGAAAAACUUCACCCAUUCAUUCAUCUUGUUGGUGGUUAUUAAGGGCCAAGUUCUGUGCUAAGUGCCCUCAGGAAAGAACAAGCGUGAAUUAUUUUCCUCAGAAUAAAAUGCACAGUGCCUGGGGUGCUAUCGGGUCAGCUCUGGCAUGGAACAAGUAAGGAAGGGGUGGGAGCAAACAGAUGGAAAAAGACGGGGAAUGAGUGAUCUCCAUCCACGAGAAGCCUGGGGACCGCAGCCCACUGCUGGCUGGUAGAUCACUGUGACUGCCAGGAUUUUGUUCUAUCUAGAACCUGAAGGAAGACGGUGUUUCCAUAAAUGAA